rnacentral:rRNA from 1 species
GACGAACGCUGGCGGCGUGCCUAAUACAUGCAAGUAGAACGCACAGUUUAUACCGUAGCUUGCUACACCAUAAACUGUGAGUUGCGAACGGGUUAGUAACGCGUAGGUAACCUGCCUGGUAGCGGUGGAUAACUAUGGGAAACGCUAGCUAAUACCGCAUCAUAUUUAUUAUUGCAUGAUAAUUGAUUGACAUAUGCUAUUUCAUCACUCCCACAUGUUCCUGCGUUGUAUUAGCUAGAAGGUGAUGUAGCGGCUCACCUAGGCGACGAUACAUAGCCGACCUGGGAGGGUGAGCCGCGACACAGGGACUGAAACACGGCCCAGACUCCUACAGGAGGCAGAAGUAGGGAAUCGUCGGAAAUGGACGAAAGACUGACCGAGCAGCGCCGGCUGAGUGCAGAAAGUUCUCGGAUCGGAAAGCUGUCUUGUAAGAGAAGAACGGGUGUGAGAGUGGAAAGUCAACACUGUGACGGUAUCUUACCAGAAAGGGACGGCUAACUACGUG